UCUUCUUCUUCUUCUUCUUCUUCCUCUUCCUCUUCUUCCUCCUUUUGUUUUUGUUUAAUUUCAAUCAAACAGAGAGGAUCGCCACCUUCGCUCAA
rnacentral:ribozyme from 13 species